UACGUAGGGGGCUAGCGUUGUCCGGAAUCAUUGGGCGUAAAGGGCGUGUAGGCGGCCCGGUAAGUCCGCUGUGAAAGUCGGGGGCUCAACCCUCGAAUGCCGGUGGAUACUGUCGGGCUAGAGUGCGGAAGAGGCGAGUGGAAUUCCUGGUGUAGCGGUGAAAUGCGCAGAUAUCAGGAGGAACACCGAUUGCGAAGGCGGUCUGCUGGGCCGUUGCUGACGCUGAGGCGCGAAAGCGUGGGGAGCAAACAGG
rnacentral:rRNA from 1 species